rnacentral:lncRNA from 1 species
UUGAAUUUCACUCAACUUUAGACCAAACCUAAUUAAAUCUUAAACCCUAAUAAUUCCUAAAUCCUAAGUCAAAUCCUAAAUAAAUCUUAAAUUAAACCCUAUUCUAAAUCCUAAACCCUAAAUCAAACCCUAAACCAAACCCUAUUCCAACCCUAAACUCUAAACCAAACCUUAAAUCAAAUCUUAACCAAACCCUAAUCUAAACCCUAAUCCAAUCCUAAACUCUAAUCCAAAUCCUAAACCAUAAACCAAAUCUUAAAUCAAACUCUAAUCCAAACCCUAAAUCAAACCCUAACCAAAUCCUAAAUCCUAAUCCAAAUCCUAAUCCAAAUCCUAAUCCAACCCUAAACUCUAAUCCAAAUCCUAAAUCCUAAACCAAACCUUAAAUCAAAUCCUAACCAUAUCCUAAAUCCUAAUCCAAACCCUAAUCCAAACCAAAUCCUAGUCCAAACCCUAAUCCAAAUCCUAAACCGAAUCCUAGCCAAAUCCUAAUUCAAAUCCUAGUAAUUCCUAUGACAGAUUUAAACCUCAAUAUCUAAUGAAUAAACCGUUAAUCUCAAUUCAAAAUUUGCAAACUUCUAAAAAAUCAAGGUCAAA